UACGUAGGGGGCGAGCGUUGUCCGAAGUUACUGGGCGUAAAGCGCGCGUAGGCGGGUUGUUAAGUGAGGGGUGAAAGGUUCGGGCUUAACCCAGAGCCUGCAUUCAAAACUGAUAGGCUAGAGUUCUGGAGGGGAUAGCGGAAUUCCUGGUGUAGCGGUGAAAUGCGUAGAUAUCAGGAGGAACACCGGUGGCGAAGGCGGCUAUCUGGACAGAAACUGACGCUGAGGCGCGAAAGCUAGGGGAGCAAACAGG
rnacentral:rRNA from 1 species